rnacentral:rRNA from 1 species
AUUGAACGCUGGCGGCAUGCCUUACACAUGCAAGUCGAACGGCAGCACGGGAGCAAUCCUGGUGGCGAGUGGCGAACGGGUGAGUAAUAUAUCGGAACGUGCCCAGUCGUGGGGGAUAACGUAGCGAAAGCUACGCUAAUACCGCAUACGAUCUAUGGAUGAAAGCGGGGGAUCGCAAGACCUCGCGCGAUUGGAGCGGCCGAUAUCAGAUUAGGUAGUUGGUGGGGUAAAGGCCCACCAAGCCGACGAUCUGUAGCUGGUCUGAGAGGACGACCAGCCACACUGGGACUGAGACACGGCCCAGACUCCUACGGGAGGCAGCAGUGGGGAAUUUUGGACGAUGGGCGCAAGCCUGAUCCAGCAAUGCCGCGUGCAGGAUGAAGGCCUUCGGGUUGUAAACUGCUUUUGUACGGAGCGAAAAGGCUUCCACUAAUACUGGGGGCUCAUGACGGUACCGUAAGAAUAAGCACCGGCUAACUACGUGCCAGCCGCCGCAGUAACAC